CGGCUCCCUUCGGCUUCACCCGCCAGGGAUGCAAAUGGCGGCUUCGCUCGGAAGCCCCGAGGGCCCAGGCGCUCGCUCGCUCGCUUGAAAGGGGAGAGCGCCGGCCGGGAAAGUCUGGCGGGCGCCCGAAGCUUGCCUGCCACGCUGCCCAGGCCGAGCCUGCUGCUGGCGGAGGCCCCGGGCAAGCCGGCCUGGAGCGGGUUGAAGGGGAGGCCGCAGCGCGCCGCGCUCACCUCCUGAGGCCUUGGCGGAGGCCGCCCGAGAGCGGGGUGGUUCCGAGGAGCCUGGCUGCGAGACUGGGGGCGGGGUCGGUGAGGAGCUGAGGAAAGGAGCCUUUGUGCGAGGCGGCGCUCGGGCUCCCUCUGGCGGCCUCUGCCGGCCGCGCCCGGAACUGCGCCGCUUGGCUCGCCCGCUGCCUGCCACGCCGAGGCGGGUGUGUGCGCCAGAGAGAUAAUCCCCCGCCACUGUGCAGCUGUCACACAUGCCAACUGUCCUUGUCAAGGGAGGACAGCCCCGCUUACGCGCUCGCUUUGCAAGCGCAGCCCGCUCGUCUCCACGGAGCUGUCCCUUUAGCAAGCAAAUCGCGCGGCGGGUUUCCAUGGAGGUGGAAGGGAAGGGAUGCUGCGGUGUGACCCCCCCUCCUCCUCCUGCCACUCACGUUGCUUCUCUCCCUCCCCCCCCCUCCAGCUGUAAAUUCUUCUCCUGCUGUGCAGGUUCGGCUCGCUGCUUCCUCCUCAGACCGUAACCGAGUCUCUCAGCUGCGAACUGGGUCAAAAAACUCUGGCACUUCCUCUUGCACAGCUUCUCCUUGAAAGGAAAACCUCGGCUAGUUUCAGUGGAGCCUCUUUUCCAAUGUGCUUAGGUUCGCAACCUUACGCUCCAGUGGUAAACACAUUAAUUUCCUGGCAUCCUCUUAUGUAAAUAGAGAUGCUGGAGCUCAAGUUUGUGUUUAUCCUGGUUUCUAAUCGCAGAUGUUUGGCAGGUUGCGGUUACUACCGGGGAAAAAAGCAUUUCUGCAUGGUUAUAUUGUUUCUUCAGACGUUCAUUGAAAACAGAUUUUCCGGGCUGACGGGGACUUGCUUCCACAAAGCUCUCUUAGCCAGAAUGUCAGGCGCAUCACUGUAAUUAUUGUUCAGUGGCGAAGAAAAAAAGCACUCUGCACCUGCUCAAACACAUUCCAUUCUCUGUCGGUUCAUAAAUUCCAGAAAAUCCUAAAAACAGAUUCCUGGGUGCAGCAGAGGAACAAUUUCAUUAUAACUUCUACCUAUCAUAUUUAAGGAUCCGGAUGCUAAAUUAAUCGCUUGUAGAUUAAAGUCAGGGAACGGUGCGAUUUUAUGCAUCUUUUCUUGCGACUUUAUUUCAAGUAAAUGUGCAUGGAAUCGCAGCCCUAGGGUAGGACGGCACCUCAGUGAUACCUCUGUUGGAAGAACUAAUCCGUCUGGGGUUUGAAGUUGCCCUACAGCUGGCGGAAGUUGGGGACUGAAAGAUGAAGAUAACCUUUAACUCUCUGUUCUUAAGCAACAUCGUUAAAAGCAUGUUCUAUUGAAUAAGAAAGAGCGCAGUUCCGAGAGUAGAACCUAAAAAGUUCCCCUUAUUUCAGUUACAGUUUGCUCCCGAGCAAUAUGGAGGAACAGAAUGUGGUUGACAUACAGGCCUUGAAUCGCUUUCCUGGCGGACUAGAGCGUUUUAGAGGGGACUACCCUAGUACCAGCAAAUGCUCUUGGGAAACAAUUUUUAGGAUUCCGGAUUUACAGACUAGCGAGAAUUAGAGAAGCCGCUUUGGAUUUACGAGGGGCAUCUUAAAACCCACCAGCCUUUGGGUUUCUGGUGCUGCAGACUAACAAAGCUCAGCAGAAUCCCUCUUUUUGCAUGUUUCCGAGUGGCAGCUGAGAAAACUCUGUGGCACAUUCAAGCUUGGGAUGCAAGAGCCUCACUGAAUAAGUCCUCCUUUACUGACCACUGUACUGGUGUUGCCAGUCGCGACUUCCGAAGAGCACAUUCUUGCAAGCCUAAAGCCUGAAAUUGUGAACACGGAGCUAGAGCGUGGUGGCUGUUCUGAAUUAGUGAACUUGAAGUACAUGGUGCUGUCGUAAAAAUAGAUAAGCUUAGCUGCCCCCCUCUCUUUCCAGUUUUUCGGGGUGGCUGUAGGGGGAAUAUGAUGCAGCUGAUCACAGAAUGAGUGGGGUUUGCUGUUGCUUGAAGCAAGCAGGUCUGACCGGAUAGAUGCACCCAACGGUGCAGUCGGAAGGAAUGCCUUCCAGUUCCAGCGCAAGCCUAUACGUGCCUUGCCAUUUACUUCCAGUCUUUCUAUAGUCCUGAUCCCAUGAAGAGAGAUCUGCCCAGGCAAGGUGCAAGAAUAAUCUCUGUUAUUGUAUGUCCUGGGCUCAGCCAAACACCUACCACAUGCUCACUCAACACUGAAUGGAAGACUCAUCACCAGAAGUGUCUGCUGAGUCAGCUAAGAUGGACAAGUUGUGACUGUCUAACUAAUACUGAGAAGAAACAGUAGGCUCUCCUCUGGGAAAUUCACACUUCUAUUGUUUGCAGGCAAAAUCUAAUAUUUAAUGCUAAGGUCCUACCUUGGAGGUAUUAUUCCACAGCUCACCCUUGCCCUAUGAGCCUAAGGAAAGUUUUACAAGCGAAGACUUGCACUGAUGAGUUGUAGCAAUUUCCUUUGCUCGUUUUGCUAUGUAUAAAAUAUCUCUGUUGUUUAAACAAUGUUUUCCCUCCAUCUACUCAGCCAUCUGCUGUUCCCAUUCAAUCCUUCAAUGGCAAAACGUUGCAUAUUAUAUCACAUACAUUUCCAAGGCAACAGUGUGAUGGCAUAAAUACCGUAUGAUGAUUUCAUGCAGCUGAGUUAGGAAGAGGGAAAACCUUUCAUGGAAGCAAACAUUUGGAACAACUCUGUGGGUUAAACCACAGAGCCUAGGA